GGAGUCGGCCGGACAGUCGCUGCCUCGGCAACGAGGUGGAGGAAAGUCCGGGCUCCACAGGGGCAGGGUGCCAGGUAACGCCUGGGGGACGCAAGUCUACGGAAAGUGCCGCAGAAAAGAUACCGCCUAAGCGCCUUUAGGCGCCGGUAAGGGUGAAAUGGUGCGGUAAGAGCGCACCGCGCUGACGGUAACGCCAGUGGCAGGGUAAACCCCACCCGGAGCAAGACCAAAUAGGGGAGCAUUGGUGUGGCCCGCAUCGCUCCCGGGUAGGUUGCUUGAGGUGCACGGUGACGUGCAUCCCAGAUGAAUGGGCUGUCCUCGACAGAACCCGGCUUACAGGCCGGCUCCCCCU
rnacentral:RNase_P_RNA from 2 species